UACGUAGGGUGCAAGCGUUGUCCGGAAUUAUUGGGCGUAAAGGGCUCGUAGGCGGUCCAUCGCGUCGGGAGUGAAAAGCUGGGGCUUAACCCCAGUCCUGCUUCCGAUACGGGUGGACUAGAGGUAGGUAGGGGAGAUCGGAAUUCCUGGUGUAGCGGUGAAAUGACGCAGAUAUCAGGAGGAACACCGGUGGCGAAGGCGGCAUCCUGGACCGACAUUGACGCUGAUGAGCGAAAGCUAGGGGAGCAAACGGG
rnacentral:rRNA from 1 species